AUCAGUGCUCUUUGCCGAGCAGCAAAAAGAAGAAUCAGCCUUGUGGGCAGGAGGAGGAGGAGGAUCGCAUUGGCCAGUAGGCAGCACCCUGUGCUGGCAGAGAGAGAAAUCUGAGCCUCAGCCUCGCCAGGAGCAGGCUUUGCACAAACUAUCUGGUUUCAAGUUGCGACUCUCCGGAGUCCCUGGGAAGGUGCCCCAGGGACAGGGCCCCCAGGAUUGAUGAGACUCCCCCAUCCCCAGCCGCCCAGAGGAUAAGCAGGUGCCAUUGGAAGCCAGAAGAAGCCAUCAGUUCUACUGAGGCUGGAGCUACAGGUAGUCGUGAAUUGCCUGAUGUGGAUUCUAGGACGGAACUCCAGUUCUCCACAAAAGCAUCAAUUAUGUUUCUGCUUUGGAGCUUCUGGCAAGCUGUUGAAGGAGGUAUCUAUAACUACCGUGAUUCUGGACCCUACGAAGAGACGUUCAUGAUGCUUCACACAUUCCACAGUUCUUCACAGCCUGUGAACCGUCAUGCUACUAAAAGAAUGUCCACAUGAAUACUGUUGGGGGAAGUAACCACGUGAAGACUUUAGAAAAAGACCCCCUUGGGCCCAGCACAGAGCAGUGAUUUCAGCAGAACCCUGCCAGAGUGGGUUCAAGGGAUUCAUCCAAGCCUGGCACAAGAGAGCCGUUGGGUGAAAACUCAAGGAGCUGCUACAAAGUCAACUGAAGAAAUGAGUCUCGACUAAGCUUCAUUAAACUGCAAGUGGUCCUUGCUGCUCUCCCUCCCCUGUGGCCCUCACUGCAGGCUGAACUGCUUUGCACUGCAAACUCCGGUCUGAGGAGUGGAGCUGAGAAACCUAGCCAUAAGAGGAGAUGGAAAGAGGUAAGAGCCAGAGGUUAUGGAUGCCUCAAAGGAAGCAGUGUCCUCCAGACACAACAGGACUGAUGCACACAUGAGCUCACAGAGACUGUGUCAACACAAACAAGAUUUCUUUCUGGGAGGGAGGGGCUUGUUGACACCUCCCACUUAGAGCAGAGUGUGGAACUGAUAUUGUUAAUUGGCUCUAACCUGUGAGCUUG
rnacentral:lncRNA from 1 species